GAUGAACGCUAGCUACAGGCUUAACACAUGCAAGUCGAGGGACCGGCGCACGGGUGAGUAACACGUAUCCAACCUGCCCUUUACUCGGGGAUAGCCUUUCGAAAGAAAGAUUAAUACCCGAUAUAAAGGAUGGGGAUGCGUUCCAUUAGGUUGUUGGUGGGGUAACGGCUACCCAAGCCUUCGAUGGAUAGGGGUUCUGAGAGGAAGGUCCACAACAUUGGAACUGAGACAAGGUCCAAACUCCGACGAGAGGAAGAAGUGAGGAAUAUUGGUCAAUGGGCGCUAGCCUGAAACAGCCAAGUAGCGUGAAGGAUGAAGGUUUAUGUGUCGUAAACUUCUUUUAUAUAAGAAUAUGUAUUAUAUGAAUAAGGAUCGGCUAACUCCGUACCAGCAGCCGCGGUAAUUC
rnacentral:rRNA from 1 species